rnacentral:rRNA from 1 species
UACGUAGGGUGCGAGCGUUAAUCGGAAUUACUGGGCGUAAAGCGUGCGCAGGCGGUUCGUUGUGUCGGUGGUGAAAGCCCCGGGCUUAACCUGGGAAUGGCCAUGGAAACUGGCGAACUGGAGUGUGGCAGAGGGGGGUGGAAUUCCGCGUGUAGCAGUGAAAUGCGUAGAGAUGCGGAGGAACACCGAUGGCGAAGGCAGCCCCCUGGGCUAGCACUGACGCUCAGGCACGAAAGCGUGGGAAGCAAACAGG